GUGGGGAAUCUUCCGCAAUGGACGAAAGUCUGACGGAGCAACGCCGCGUGAGUGAAGAAGGUUUUCGGAUCGUAAAGCUCUUUCGUUAGGGACGAACGUGCUCUUUGUGAAUAAUGCUAGGAAGUGACGGUACCGGAAUAGAAAGCCACGGCUAACUACGUGCCAGCAGCCGCGGUAAUACGUAGGUGGCAAGCGUUGUCCGGAAUUAUUGGGCGUAAAGCGCGCGCAGGCGGGAUAUCAAGUCUGUCUUAAAAGUGAGAGGCUCAACCUCGUGAGGGGACAGAAACUGGUAUUCUUGAGUGUCGGAGAGGAAAGUGGAAUUCCAAGUGUAGCGGUGAAAUGCGUAGAGAUUUGGAAGAACACCAGUGGCGAAGGCGACUUUCUGGACGAUGUCUGACGCUGAGGCGCGAAAGCUAGGGGAGCGAACGGGAUUAGAUACCCGUGUAGUCC
rnacentral:rRNA from 1 species